rnacentral:lncRNA from 1 species
UCCAACCUGAAAUACAAAUGGAGAGUGAAACGGCGAGUUGCAACGUCGGUUUGAAAAGUAUUCCCGAGGUAAUUAAUUACUUACUUGCUUAUGUAAUUACUUAUGUAUUAAACAAACUUAUAUAUUAACCGUACUUAUGUUUUAACUAUUGAUUUAGGGUGUCACUACAUGUGUCCUAUACUUGUCCUCGCCUACUCAACGGAAGGUGGGAAAAGGAAUAUUGUACAAUACUUCAGGAGAAGUAUUGCACAAUAUUCCGAUUCCCGCGGGCCAUGUCAAAGUAUCACCUACUGUUGCUUUCGAACCAACUGCACAG